GGGCGGGUGGCGGAACGGCAGACGCGCACGGUUCAGGUCCGUGUGUCCGAAAGGACGUGAGGGUUCAAAUCCCUCCUCGCCCACC
rnacentral:tRNA from 2 species